rnacentral:rRNA from 1 species
AACCUGCCCAAGAUAUCGGGAUAACACCUGGAAACAGAUGCUAAUACCGGAUAACAACAGAUAAUGCCUAUCAACUGUUUAAAAGAUGGUUCUGCUAUCACUCUUGGAUGGACCUGCGGUGCAUUAGCUAGUUGGUAGGGUAACGGCCUACCAAGGCGAUGAUGCAUAGCCGAGUUGAGAGACUGAUCGGCCACAUUGGGACUGAGACACGGCCCAAACUCCUACGGGAGGCAGCAGUC